CGUCACCCGGCAACGGGACUCAGCGCCCCGGCGGACCGCGCCGCCGGCUCCGCCCCGUAUCCCUCCGCCCAGAGGGCGGCCCGGAUCCCCGAUCGCAGAGCCGCGGGGCUGCGCCGCGCGGGGCCCGGGCGCCGGCGAGCCGCCCUCAUGCCGGGGCCGCGGCGCAGGAAGGGCGGGGGGAGCAGGGGAAGUGUCCUUUGCCCUGGUUGUACAGCCUCCCGCCCGCCCGGAGAGCGCCGCGCUGUCCGCCUGAGGAGGGAAGCGGCGGGCCCGGCGCUCGGCAGCCCCCGGGCGGGCCCGCGGGGCCGCCGCUGAGGCGGGAGAGCCGGCGGGCGGAAGCACCCGCGCCCCUCAGGAGCGCCGCGCCGCCGGGAGGGGAGCACCCGGGCAGGGCCGGCGCAGGAAUGCGAGGGAGGGAGCGGGGGAUAAUGAUGGAGCGUAGCGGUGUUUGUCAUGUGAGGGCCUUUUGAAAUCCUGAACGACUCCGAGAGCGAGGUUAACAAAUAAAAGUUUAUUUUACUGCGCAAUGAAAGCCCGUCUGGAAGGGAAGUAGUCUGUUAGGAGAUUGUUGCCAUUGAAAGUCGGGUUUAGUAGGUGAGGUCCUCGGGAGCCGCGGGGAUUUUGUUCUAAUUGAUUAAAUGCCAGUUUAAUCACAACUGUUUACACAACCCUGGAGUAAUGAAAGGGCAACAUUUUUAGCAUAGUAGAUGGGUGAAAAUGGGCCACUGUAAGGCUGAAAAUAUGACAAGACACACCAAAGUACUCGUUAAGCUUCUUAAUUAGGAAAAUAAUGAUGCCCUUUUCAGGUGAACACUACCACCCCACAUUUCUCAAAUACAUGAACACGUAUGGGCCUAAGGAAAGUCAAUAUUAUGUAAGAUGUCAGAGUAAGUCUUCUGUGUGUGUAAUCCUGAGGUUUUCUUCCUUUUGUUCACUGCUCAACGUGUGGCUCCUAGAGUUCCAAAAUGCAGUAUGUCAUCCGUGUUGGCUCACACUGCUUCUUUUGUGCACAACAUCUUCAGUCAAUGGAACCAAGAUUGCCUUUGAAAACAUGAUCCCCCAGUACGGGAUGUGGUCCCAUUUAGGCCUUUCAACAAGUUAAGUCUGUGUAUAAAAACUACAUCUCAUAAGAAGCAUGCAUGCAAACAUUGCCUCCCAGCCUAUAUAUUCAUUUCCUGAUACAGAGCAACAUUAUUCUUAUUUUUGUUUUAGCUAGGGUUUGCCAAUUUUGAACAUCCUUAGCGCCUAAUUUUGUCAUAAAUCUGACAGGCUAGCCAAAAGUUAAGUAUGCAAGAUUGUGUAGCUACAUGAACUACCAGCAUUCUCUUAAACGUCACUGAGGCAUUCAUUGAUGUUGUAUGAACGUGCAGUUAAUCAGUUACUUUCUCCAAACCUUGCAGGAGUAUUUUGGGAGAAAUCUAAAGAGAAAGUAGUGCUUUAAACUGUGUGAUGAAAGGACAGAAUUGUUCUCUGAACUAUUUAAUUACUGUUCAAGUUAUUUUCUUGUUAUGAAAAGCUGAAACUGAAAAGCUUUGGGGGAAAAAUCCUGCUGACUGUUUUCUGCUGAGUCAUUCCCCGGGUUUAUCAGAAGCAUUUCACCACCACUAACACAACUCGCACCAAUCACUAUCAAAUCUCCUUUUGUUCAGGAGCUCAGAAUUUGAAUUCCCCUUUUCAAGGUAGAAUAAGAUGUACUAAAAUAUGAGGCACCUAAGAUUUGUCUGUAGUAACAAUUGGUACCAAUUUAAAUCAAUCUCCAUACAGUCCUCUGCACAUAUCUUCCAUGUAUUAGUAAUGUAUAUCAUCAAUACAAAUCCACUCUGUUUCACCCUUUUUAACCAUUUUUUUUUCUCUGAAGGUUUGUAGAAGGAGCAGAUGCUCAGAACAUUGGUGUUCUCCUAAUGGAGCAAGCCAGAGCAUGGAGGCCAAUGACAGAUUAUUCUGAAUAUUCCCAUAGUUGCUGUGUGACAUUUCAAAUUGACAAUUCUGGUUUUGUGGUCAGAUCUCAGGAAUUCCGACAGUGGAACUUUUUUGUUUGUUGGUUUUUGUUGGUUUUUAUUUUCCUAACAACCAACCCAGUUCUGAUCUCCGUUUGGCAAGCAUUUCAGAAACAGCUGGUACAUGACCAUAUGCCGUGCUGGCGCUGCUGUGGGCUUAUUUCCCACUUGUCCUCCUGGUCAAUCAGAGUAGCUCCAUGUGCUGAAGGACAGCUGGUCCCUUGGCAUGCAAAGCAGCUAAUGAACUUUUCCUCCAAAAAGCUGUAGGGAUAGAGAUGUGAGCUGCAAUCAGUGGUUUUUCCUUUCUGAAGUGCUAUCAAAGAUGGGAGUUUUCUGUGGGAGCCCUGUUUAUUGCCUCUGUGUGACAACCUGCACCCUGAGAACAACUAUGUGGGUGUGCGUUGUAGGUGACAGCACUUGUUUGGAAAAUGAAGGCUAAAUGAUCUGUGUUGAAAAGAAUUCUAAACCACGACUGAGUGACUGAUGGACUUGUGCCUUUAGCUGUCAGCCUCAGCAAGUAGACCAUUUCCCUUUUCAUUGUGAUCCCUGCUGAAAGGGUCUCCAAUAAAUUUCUAAAAAUGUGUCCAUUUCAUAAUACAUUAUUUUUCCUUUAAGUAACCUACUGAAGGAGAAAUUGCACAGCAGUUUAGUAUUACAUAGCCACAGCUUGUAAGCAUUUUAUUGUCAGCCAUUCCUCUUACUUCCUUAAAAUCAGUCAGUUUAUAAUAUUCCCUAAAAUUCCCUUGUAGGUGCAAUAAAAAUCCCCUGAUUUUCCCCGAGCAAGGAUUAAGUAUCAGUUAGCUUUGAAAGUCAUGAUAACCAAUCAGUAGACAAUUCUCUUGUUCACAGUUCAUAAACCGUUCAUAUGAAAUGCUUGAUAAAAACAAUCUGCCCAUUCAGCAUUUUAGAAACAGAGCUACAGUACAAUUUGUGAGGGAAUAUAUGUAUUCCAAGAACUUAAAAGAUCAUCUAAAUGUGCAGGAUCUAAAUAUAUACAUAAAGCUAUAAUGUGUUUUUAAAAUCUAGUAAAUGGAUGGAUGUUAAUGUAAACUGAAAUAGGGAAUAUCCAACAGACUCAUGGUGAGUUUUAUUUGAAAUCUUGAUGCACAGAUUCAAAAUUAUAGUUAUCUCUUUGAAACUACUUUUCUUAAUUCCACAAAGGCUUGCCUAACUUUUUUCCUUCUUUUCAGGAUCCAUUUCAGGUUUUUAGCAAAGACAUUCACACCUCCCAGAAGUAAUAACUCCGUUCAAAUGACACAUUCAAAAGGCAUUCCUCAGCACUAGAUCAGGUUUCAGAUUCCUUUUUACUGAUCCCUCUUUCCUAAUAAUAUCCC